UACAGAGGUCUCAAGCGUUGUUCGGAUUUAUUGGGCGUAAAGGGCGCGUAGGCGGCGGGGUAAGUCGGGUGUGAAAUCUCAGGGCUCAACCCUGAAACUGCACUUGAUACUGCUCUGCUUGAGGACUGGAGAGGAGACUGGAAUUCACGGUGUAGCAGUGAAAUGCGUAGAUAUCGUGAGGAAGACCAGUGGCGAAGGCGGGUCUCUGGACAGUUCCUGACGCUGAGGCGCGAAGGCCAGGGGAGCGAACGGG
rnacentral:rRNA from 1 species